GUAGUCAUAUGCUUGUCUCAAAGAUUAAGCCAUGCAUGUCUAAGUAUAAGCAACUAUACGGUGAAACUGCGAAUGGCUCAUUAAAUCAGUUAUCGUUUAUUUGAUAGUACCUCACUACAUGGAUAACCGUGGUAAUUCUAGAGCUAAUACAUGCUAAAAACCCCGACUCACGGAGGGGUGUAUUUAUUAGAUAAAAAACCAACGCCCUCCGGGGCUCCUUGGUGAAUCAUAAUAACUUAACGAAUCGCAUGGCCUUGUGCCGGCGAUGGUUCAUUCAAAUUUCUGCCCUAUCAACUUUCGAUGGUAGGAUAGUGGCCUACCAUGGUUUCAACGGGUAACGGGGAAUUAGGGUUCGACUCCGGAGAGGGAGCCUGAGAAACGGCUACCACAUCCAAGGAAGGCAGCAGGCGCGCAAAUUACCCAAUGCCGACACGGCGAGGUAGUGACAAUAAAUACUGAUACAGGGCUCUUUCGGGUCUUGUAAUUGGAAUGAGUACAAUUUAAAUACCUUAACGAGGAACAAUUGGAGGGCAAGUCUGGUGCCAGCAGCCGCGGUAAUUCCAGCUCCAAUAGCGUAUAUUAAAGUUGUUGCAGUUAAAAAGCGCGUAGUUGAACCUUGGGCCUGGCUGGCCGGUCCGCCUCACCGCGUGCACUGGUCCGGCCGGGCCUUUCCUUCUGGGGAGCCACAUGGCCUUCACUGGCCGUGUCGGGGAACCAGGACUUUUACUUUGAAAAAAUUAGAGUGUUCAAAGCAGGCCUUUGCUCGGAUACAUUAGCAUGGAAUAAUAGAAUAGGACGUGCGGUUCUAUUUUGUUGGUUUCUAGGACCGCCGUAAUGAUUAAUAGGGAUAGUCGG
rnacentral:rRNA from 1 species